UCUCCCGAUACUCUCUCUCGCAGCGGAGGAACCCUAGAAUUUGGGCGUUUUCAAUUUCGGGUCAAUCUGAAGUAAUUGCAUCCAAUAUUUUCAUCAUCUAGUUCUGAGUGGCUAUGAAUUCGAUCUAGUGGAGCUUUCUCAUGGAAGAAGAAGGGUAAUCAUCAACACAAUGGUAGUUUUCAGAACGGGUUUGGGUGAUGCACCUCCUCACAGAAGAUGGAAUGCAGUGAAGAGAUGGUGAAUAGACAAAUGGUUGAAAACACUGUUCUGUUUAUUCGGUAGCAGUGGAAGAUGAAGAGACAGAUGGGUGGAGUGAGGGGCGCCACAUAGAUCUGUGAAAGGAUCUAUGA